UAGUGGCAGACGGGUGAGUAAUGUAUAGGAAUCUACCUAGUAGUACGGAAUAAUUGUUGGAAACGGCAACUAAUACCGUAUACGCCCUACGGGGGAAAAAUUUAUUGCUAUUAGAUGAGCCUAUAUUAGAUUAGCUAGUUGGUAGGGUAAAAGCUUACCAAGGCAAUGAUCUAUAGCUGAUCUGAGAGGAUGAUCAGCCACACUGGAACUGAGAUACGGUCCAGACUCCUACGGGAGGCAGCAGUGGGGAAUAUUGGACAAUGGGCGAAAGCCUGAUCCAGCCAUGCCGCAUGAGUGAAGAAGGCCUUUGGGUUGUAAAGCUCUUUUAGUGAGGAAGAUAAUGACGGUACUCACAGAAGAAGUCCUGGCUAACUCCGUGCCAGCAGCCGCGGUAAUACGGAGAGGGCUAGCGUUAUUCGGAAUCAUUGGGCGUAAAGGGCGCGUAGGCUGAUUAGUAAGUUAAAAGUGAAAUCCCAAGGCUCAACCUUGGAAU
rnacentral:rRNA from 1 species